AGUUGGGAGUAAAGUAAACAAGAGCUCAAUUUGGUGCGGCAACACAAUUGGCGACUCCACUGGGAUGGGAAAAAAGAAGCACACGAUGGAUGGCAAUGGUCCCAAGGACAGGAGCACCAUCGACCCCGACAAUGUCACCGUCAUCACGCUUGAAGAUCUAUUUGAAGAAGAACGGCGGGAUAUUCAGCGAGAACUCGAGGAAGAGAUGACAGAGAGGCAGAAGCAAAAGUUGGCAUGCUAUCAGAAGACGAGGAACGGCGUCAUCAAGAAAAUAGCUACACCAACUUCUACUGCUCCGCGUAAUACCGAGGUACAAUUGACCAUUAGUGACGGACGAUUGAAAUUUGCAGAAGGCACUAAGAUGAAGCUUGAUAGUGAUCUUUUUCCCAUUAAUGUCAUCGAGUUUGAGAACAAGAAGAUGCUUAUUCGGUCAGAUCAAGCCGGGUCUGCAAAAGGGGAAAACAUUAUUGUUGAUGAUAAUGUUGCCCCAAGGAUGAUUAAGCCAAAAAAUCUGGAAGUGGGAGUAUGGAAAGUUAAUGAAGGCAAGAAGCAAGUUCCAAGGUUCAGGCCAACAGUUAAGCAGCUGUUGGACAAGUAUACAUCACGGUAGGCCAGCAAUGUGUUUAAUCGGCUUGGAGGUGCUAAGCGUCCUCAUUCUCCUUCUAGACAUGGUUUUAGUGGUCAAAGGUACCGGAAUAGAAAUUCAUAUAAUCAGCAACCAUAUCGCGAGAUGGGGUCAACAUAUUUGGGCCGUGCACCUCCCAUGCGCCCGCAGAUUCCUCCAUGGGGUUAUAAUUGCUCAGCACAAUAUUCUACUAUAUCAAUGGGUCGUUUUCACCAAGGAGUGAGACCAUCUGGGCCUAUAAUUGCAAGACAAAUGUCCAACAAGAGGGCUCGAUUUGAUCAGGAAUCUAGAUCACGUGGUGCUAUUCAUGGUGGCUAUAUGAAUUCAGUUUCUAAAACUUUUGAUCCAGCUGAGAGAGAAGCUGGUUUGCCCAGGGGGAAAGCAUUUGCACCAUCUACAGGUGGCCGCUCGCCUAAACAUAAUGCAUAUGGAAAAAUUUAUAUGGGAGGCAAGCAAUUCGCAUGGGUGCCAGUAGGACAAGGAGGUCAUGCAAAGAAUUCAAUCGCAGGUGGCGUUGAUAAGCCAGUGGAAAGUUUAGAUGAGUCUACUGGGGAGCCUUAAAAUUGGUCAUUCCAAACUGAAGGUACUGUUUAUGAUCCGAAAACGGGUGAUAUUCCAGGAAAGCAAGGUAAUGGCGUGCAGCAGCAAGGCUCUAAUAUUAUUUAGAAGGAUACUACAGUAAAAAAGUGCAGCUUGCAGGUUCAUUCGGAAGUUGAUAUACAGAAAAAUUCCGAGAAGGCAUAAGGUGCAUCACUAGACACUGGAACCUCCAAGGAUGUACCAAUGGCGAACAAUGGACUGAACUCUAGUGCUGGCAAGCGACGUGAAAAUUCAAGCAAUACUAGUGGCAGAGCAGCUAGAAACUUAUUUUGACAAACAGUAGGUUGAAUGGUAGUUCGUUUGAGCAGUAGAGAAUUUUUUCGGCCAAGAGCAGUACAUUCAUGCCAAGAACAGCAGUACCUCCAUACCGGCCGAGAAACUUGGGAGGCAGUAGCAGGAUCAUGUCAGUUGCACCAGGGACAAAACCAAAGCCUCAGUGGUGCCCUGCAGGACUCACACAUACUCAAAAGCGGAGAGUACAGCGGCUGCGAGCACUGGAAAUUAGGGAAGAGCAAUCUGAUAUGAGACACGAUGAGUGUUUCAAUCAAACCAGGCCCAUGGUGCCUACGAAGAUGACUUGGAAAGAGAAGCGUAUUGUGACAGAGGAAGGUAACACCAUAUAUGGAAUGAGUAUUGGUGAAAAUUCAGAAAAUAGAAAUAACAUUCAUGAUACUAUGGAUAUUAAUAUGGUGUUCAUGUUGCCUUCUGAAUUUCGUGCUGCUGAAUCAGAAGUUGCUGAGCUUGAUCUUGGCCCAAAAAAUGCUAUAUUUGAGAAACCAGAGAAGCCUGGCCAGCACCUGAAGCUUUUAUUCAUCAAAGGUCAUAUUGAUGGUAAGCCUGUUGGUCGCAUGCUUGUUGAUAGUGGUGCCGGAGUUAAUGUUAUGCCUCUUUUGGCUUUUUCUAAACUGGGCUGAGAUGAAAGUGAUUUAAAGAAGACCAACAUGGGACUUAGUGGGUUCUCUAGAGAGCUAUCUGAAGCCAAGGGUAUUAUUUCUAUGGAGCUAACUGUAGGGAGCAAAACAAUUCCGACUGCAUUCUUUAUUGUUGAUGUCAAAGGCUGAUAUAAUAUUCUGUUAGGAUGCGAUUGGAUUCAUGCAAAUUGCUGCAUACCUUCAAGUUUACAUCAAUGCUUGAUUCAAUGGGUUGGUGAUGAUGUGGAGGUGAUUGAGGCAGAUAAUUCAGCUUGUAUUGCAUUAACUGAUGCGCAGGUUGAUUGGCAACAUGAUGGGAUGAGAUGCUUGACAGGAAGGGAUUUUGCAGAUUGUGAUUAUCUAGCUAUUGGCAGAGAUGGUUUUGUACCAGUAAAUCUACAGCUGGCUAUGGUAGCUCGACUUAAUAAUUUAUCUUUUUGAACAAUGAAUAAAGAAGAUAGUAUCAAGUGGUUGCAAAAGCGUACUGAGCAGUAUGGUUCAGGCAAGAACGGUAUGCAUGAAACUAUUGAAGACUUUGACGAUGUGGAGAAACUUGGACAGGGGUUCUUAUCGGCUGAUCCGCUUGAGGAAAUUGAUAUUAGUGAUGGAAGUGUUCCCAGGCCUACGUACAUAAAUGCAAACCUGGAAGCUGAUCAGAAAAGUAAGGUGCUCAAAUGCAUCUAAGACGACCAAACGUCCAAGUUCAUGGAGCUGUCGGCCUGGCUGUUGGGAUAAGCGCCCCCUUUACUUUUUGAUUCUAUGAUACGUGGAUCUCAAAAAAAAAUCUAUCUUAAGGUUAGUACCAACCAAACACCUACCAAGGUUAAUUAUGAUAAAGUGUCCACCUUCUUUGAUUAGAAACCGCGGAUUCAACAAGUGCAACUAGCAACCUUUAAUUUGGAGAAGAGGCCGUGCUAUUAACCUAGCAAGGCCGGGUCCGUGAGGUACAAAGGUGCGGCUCGCCACAUGUGCUCCCCACAAAGGUGCGGCUCCCCACUCCAGCUGUCCUAGCCUGCUUGUUACGCUCUGUUUUAAAAAUAAAAUCAAGUGCUACAAUCAAGUGAUAUCAUAAAUGAAUAACAACAACAUGAUCGUGAAAAGAAAUAAAGAGAGACUAUCAGAGAUAUACACUUAAUCCUGGAAACGAAGCUUAGGCAAUCGACGGGGGCUGCGUAUGCCUAGAACUCAGCACCAUCUUCAACAAACUUCACAACAACUUCUUCUUCUAAGCAACAUUGUUUAUAGCAAGCGUGAGUACAUGACGUACUCAGCAAAUAUGGAUAAAAUAUGAAUGUAAGGCUUAAACAUGGAAAGACUUACAGGUUUAACGCAAGCACUUUUAGUUGGUCAA